rnacentral:hammerhead_ribozyme from 1 species
AUUCAGCUGACGAGUCCAUAAUGGGACGAAACUAUCAUCCUGGAU